CCUACGGGUGGCAGCAGUGGGGAAUAUUGGGCAAUGGAGGAAACUCUGACCCAGCAAUGCCGCGUGAAUGAAGAAGGUCUUCGGAUUGUAAAGUUCUUUAGUCAGGGAAGAAUAAAAUGACGGUACCUGAAGAAUAAGCUCCGGGUAACUACGUGCAAGCAGCCGCGGUAAUACGUAGGGAGCAAGCGUUGAUCGGAAUGACUGGGCGUAAAGGGUGCGUAGGCGGUUAUACAAGUUAGAAGGGAAAUGCCCAGGGCUUAACCCGGGAGCUGCUUCUAAAACUGUAAGACUUGAGUGCAGUAGAGGUUAGUAGAAUUCCUAGUGUAGCGGUGAAAUGCGUAGAUAUUAGGAGGAACACCGGAGGCGAAGGCAGCUAACUGGACUGCAACUGACGCUGAGGCACGAAAGUGUGGGGAGCAAACAGGAUUAGAUACCCGGGUAGUC
rnacentral:rRNA from 1 species